rnacentral:rRNA from 1 species
UAAAUUGAUCUAAGUAAUAGAUUUGAAAUAAUUAUAGUAUAAAUUUAACGAGAUAAUCAUAGAAUAUAGAUUCAUAAAUAAUGAAUAAGCUAUUAAUAGAGUUAGGUUACAAAUAAAUAUUUAAAAGUAUUUUAAUACCUAAGGGUAAACCUUUUUUUAUAAAUAUACUGAGUGAAUUGAAACAUCUUAGUAACUCAAGGAAAAUAAAUCAACAGAGAUAUUAUGAGUAUUGGUGAGAGAAAAUAAUUAAAGUCUAAAAGUAUUAUGUAUUAAUAAUAUAUAAGAAAAAUUAAUUAUAUUUAAUUAUAUAAUUAAAUAAGGGAUUAACAAAUUCUAAGACUAAAUACUAUUAAUAAGCUAAAUAGUACCGUAAGGGAAUAUAUGAAAAUGGUUAUUUUAUAAGCAGUCAAUUCAUUAGAUAAUAAUGAUAUGAUGUACCUUUUGUAUAAUGGGUCAGCAAGUUAUUAGUAUAUGCAAAAUUAAUUAAAUUAUAUAAAAAUAGAUAUAUAAAUAUAUAUAUAAAAAUAUAUUAACAAUUAAACAAAUUAAGUAUAUAUUAAUAGACCCGAAAGCAGAUGAUCUUACUUUGAUAAGAUGUAUAAACGAUCGAACAAGUUGAUGUAGCAAAAUCAUUUGAAUAAUUGAGGUAAGUAAGUGAAAGACAAAUCUGAUCUGCAGAUAGCUGGUUUUCUAUGAAAUAUAUAUUAGUAUAGCUCUUAUAUAAUAUUAAUUAUUAUUAUAAUUAAUUAUAAUUAUAAUAAUGAAUGGUAUAGCAAUUAAUAUUAAUAUGUUAUGUAUGAAUCUUCGGAAAUUAUUAUUAGUUGUAGAAGAAAUAUUAAAUCUCAAAAUAUUUAAUUAAUAAUAUAUAAGAAGUCAGAUUAUGUGCGAUAAGGUAAAUAAUCAAAAGGGAAACAGCCCUAAUUAAGAUAUAAAGUUCCUAAUUUUAUAUUAAGUGAAAUUAAUAUUAAAAUAUUAUAAUUCAAUCAGUUAAUGGGUUUGACAAUAACCAUUUUUUAAUGAACAUGUAACAAUGCACUGAUAUAUAAAUAAUUAAUUAAUUAUUCAUAAUAUUUAUAUAAUAAAUAAUAUACGGAUCUUAAAUAUAUAAAACUGAAUAUCUAAAUAUUAUUAUUAAUAUAAUCAAUAAUAAUAAUAUGGUAAUAGAACAUUUAAUGAUAAUAUUAUUAAUUAAUAAAAUUAAUAAUAAAGUAUACUAGUUAUUAAUUAGUAUAUAAUAAAAUAAUUAAAUAGAGAAUGCUGACACGAGUAACGUUAAAAAAGUAUAAACUUUUUCACCUAAAGCAUAAGGUUUUACUAUAAAAGUACGGCCCCUAAUAUAUAUAUUUAAUAAUAUAAAUAAUAUAUUAAUUUAAUAAAAUUAAUAUAAUAGAUGGGAUAAAUCUAAUAUAAUAAUCAAGUCUUAAUAAUUAUAUAUAAUAUAUAUAAUAGAUUAAUUAAGAUCAAGAAAAGUAUUAUAGAAUACCGUAAUGUAUACCGACUCAGGUAUGUUAGUAGAGAAUAUGAAGGUGUAUUGGAGAAUUAAGGGUAAGGAACUCGGCAAAAAUAGGUCUAAAAUUAGAUAAGACUAAUAAGAACAAGGUUGUACAACUGUUUAAUAAAAACACAGCUCUAUGCAGAAAUAUAAAUUAAAGUAUAUGGAGUGAAAUCUGCUCAAUGUUUAAUAUCUAAGUAAUAUAAUUGAAAGAUUAUAUUAAUAAGUAUGAAUAAAUAGCAGCCUUAUUAUGAGGGUUAUAAUGUAGCGAAACACCUUGGCCACUAAAUAUGGUCCCGCAUGAAUGACGUAAUGAUACAACAACUGUCUCGCCCUUAAACCAAGUGAAACUGGAAUGGUAGUGAAGAAGAUACUAUCUAUAUAUAGUAAGACAAAAAGACCCUAUGCAGCUUUACUAUAAUUAGAAAGAUCGAGUAAUUAUAUAUAUUAUUUAGAAUAUUAAGUAAUUGAUUAAAUAAAGAUGAAAUACUUAUUUAUAUAUAAUAAUUAUUCUUAUCCUAUAUAAUUUAUUAACAUAUGUUAAUAAAAGGAAACAAUCUCUAAUUGGUAGUUUGAAUGGGAUGUUCUUUUCAGCAAAUUUAUCUGAUAAAGUCUAUAUAAAAUAUUUAUAAGAUUAUUUAAUAAAUAAAAUAUAUAAUAUUAUAUAUUAAAUAUAAAAUAAAUAUAUAUUAUAUAUACCAAUAAUAUUAUUAUUAUUGAUAUAAUGUGUAUUUAAUAAUAGAAAAAAUAAUGUACAGUUAAAUUGUCUUGAAAACAAUAAUAAUUAUUAUUAAUUUAAUAUAAUAAUUAACUAAAUAUAAUGGUAUAACUGUGCUAUAAUUGUAACACAAACGAGUGAAACAAGUACGUAAGUAUGGCAUAAUGAACAAAUAAUACUGAUUGUAAAGAUUAUUGAUAACGAAUAAAAGUUACGCUAGGGAUAAUAAUAUGAUUAAUUAUCAUAUUAUAAAUUGAACAGGGUAAUAUAACGAAAGAGUAGAAAUUGUAAGUUAUGUUUGCCACCUCGAUGUCGACUCAACCUAAAUCCUCUUGGUUGUAAAAGCUAAGAAGGGUUUGACUGUUCGUCAAUUAAAAGGUUACGUGAGUUGGGUUAAAUACGAUGUGAAUCAGUAUGGUUUUUAUCUACUAUAUAAAAUAUUAUCUAAUUAAGCCUCAUUAUUAGUACGCAAGGACCAUAAUGAAUUAACCUAUGGUGUAUCUAUUGAUUAUUAUAUAAUAAUAAUAUUUAUAUUAUUAUUAUCUUUAUUAUUCUAUAUUUUAAUUUUAAUAAUCAUAGUAGAUAAGCUAAGUUAAUAAAUAAUAAAUAUUGAAUACAUAUCAAAUAUGAAGUAGUCUUAAUAACGAUAAAUAAUAAUGAUAAUUUUAUACUAAAAUUAUAUACGUCUAUUCUAUUAUCUAUACCCUUAAGGUAUUGGUAAUUAAUAUAAUAGACAUAAUAAUAGGUUUUAUAUAUUUAUGUAAAAUACUAAUUUAUCAUUCAUUUAUACUCUCUUCUAAUAAAAGAGAUACCAUUUAAUGGUACUAUAUCUAAUCUAUUACUUACAUUUAU